AUCCAGCUGAAGAGUCCAAAAUAGGGCGAAACUAGUGUCCUGGAU
rfam:Schistosoma rodhaini strain Burundi genome assembly, scaffold: SROB_scaffold0007129